UACGGAGGGUGCAAGCGUUAUCCGGAUUCUCUGGGUUUAAAGGGUGCGUAGGCGGGCAGGUAAGUCCGUGGCGAAAUCUCUGAGCUUAACUCAGAAACUGCCAUGGAUACUAUUUGUCUUGAAUAUUGUGGAGGUAAGCGGAAUAUGUCAUGUAGCGGUGAAAUGCUUAGAUAUGACAUAGAACACCAAUUGCGAAGGCAGCUUACUACACAGUUAUUGACGCUGAGGCACGAAAGCGUGGGGAUCAAACAGG
rnacentral:rRNA from 1 species